rnacentral:rRNA from 2 species
UACGGAGGGAGCUAGCGUUGUUCGGAAUUACUGGGCGUAAAGCGCACGUAGGCGGCUUUGUAAGUUAGAGGUGAAAGCCUGGUGCUCAACAUCAGAACUGCCUUUAAAACUGCAUCGCUUGAAUCCAGGAGAGGUGAGUGGAAUUCCGAGUGUAGAGGUGAAAUUCGUAGAUAUUCGGAAGAACACCAGUGGCGAAGGCGGCUCACUGGACUGGUAUUGACGCUGAGGUGCGAAAGCGUGGGGAGCAAACAGG